GGGCCCGCACAAGCGGUGGAGCAUGUGGUUUAAUUCGAUGAUACGCGAGGAACCUUACCAGGGCUUAAAUGUAGUCUGACAGAUUUGGAAACAGAUUUUUCUUCGGACAGAUUACAAGGUGCUGCAUGGUUGUCGUCAGCUCGUGCCGUGAGGUGUCAGGUUAAGUCCUAUAACGAGCGCAACCCCCUGUGGUUAGUUGCCAGCGAGUCAAGUCGGGAACUCUAGCCAGACUGCCGGUGCAAACCGUGAGGAAGGUGGGAUGACGUCAAAUCAUCACGGCCCUUACGUCCUGGGCCACACACGUGCUACAAUGGUAGGUACAGAGAGCAGCCACGUCGCAAGGCGGAGCGAAUCUAUAAAACCCUAUCAC
rnacentral:rRNA from 1 species